AGAGUUUGAUCAUGGCUCAGAACGAACGCUGGCGGCAGGCUUAACACAUGCAAGUCGAACGCACCUUUCGGGGUGAGUGGCAGACGGGUGAGUAACGCGUGGGAACGUGCCCUUCAAUUCGGGAUAACCCAGGGAAACUUGGGCUAAUACCGGAUACGUGCGAGAGCGGAAAGAUUUAUCGCUGAAGGAUCGGCCCGCGUCUGAUUAGCUAGUUGGUGGGGUAAUGGCCCACCAAGGCGACGAUCAGUAGCUGGUCUGAGAGGAUGAUCAGCCACAUUGGGACUGAGACACGGCCCAAACUCCUACGGGAGGCAGCAGUGGGGAAUAUUGGACAAUGGGCGCAAGCCUGAUCCAGCCAUGCCGCGUGAGUGAUGAAGGCCUUAGGGUUGUAAAGCUCUUUCGUCCGGGACGAUAAUGACGGUACCGGAAGAAGAAGCCCCGGCUAACUUCGUGCCAGCAGCCGCGGUAAUACGAAGGGGGCUAGCGUUGUUCGGAAUCACUGGGCGUAAAGGGCGCGUAGGCGGCUUUGUAAGUCGGGGGUGAAAGCCUGUGGCUCAACCACAGAAUUGCCUUCGAUACUGCAUGGCUUGAGACCGGAAGAGGUAAGUGGAACUGCGAGUGUAGAGGUGAAAUUCGUAGAUAUUCGCAAGAACACCAGUGGCGAAGGCGGCUUACUGGUCCGGUUCUGACGCUGAGGCGCGAAAGCGUGGGGAGCAAACAGGAUUAGAUACCCUAGUAGUCC
rnacentral:rRNA from 1 species